GAGGAGGAGAGGGAGGAGGAGGAGGAGGAGGAGGAGAUGUUUGGAGUGAAAAACAAACAACACGGAUUAUGACGUCACGCGGUGUCACUACAGCAACCCGACACCUCGUAAGUCAACAUGCUUGUUUCUAUGGCGACUCCCAACACCUCUGACAAGUUGAGUCAAGGCCAUCUCGUGACAGAAAUACAAAUUUGAGUAUUAAUAAUAAACUACAAAUAUU
rnacentral:miRNA from 10 species